GCCAGGCGCAGUGGCGCGUGCCUGUAGUCCCAGCUACCAGGGCGGCUGAGGUGGGAGGAUCUCUUGAGCCCAGGAGUUCUGGGCUGUAGUGCACUAUGCCAAUCCGGUGUCCGCACUAAGUUCAGCAUCAAUAUGGUGACCUCCCGUGAGCGCGGGACCACCACGUUGCCUAAGGAGGGGUGAAUCGGCCCAGGUCGGAAUGGAGCAAGUCAAAACUCCCAUGCUGAUCAGUAGUGGGAUCGCACCUGUGAACAACAGCCACUGCAGUGCAGCCUGGGCAACAUAGCAAGACCCCGUCUCAA
ensembl:misc_RNA Metazoa_SRP Metazoan signal recognition particle RNA